ACCACCAGAACGGGUGUAGAAGCCCAGCCAGUAGGAUAAGCCCUCCCAGAUCUGGCCGGGCGGCCGGCUGCUGCCUUCUUCCCCAAUUCGGGAAAGACGACUAUGAAGAUCAGUUUGUGUAGCGUGGUUUGGUUCUUCUCUCUAGCUGUAUCUCCUUGCUCCCCCGCGCGCGCUCUCUCUCUCUCCGUGUCCAGUUCUUGUUGCGUCUGCUUGGUACUGUACUUUGCAGCGGUGGUCGACGUUGGGAUGAUGGGGGCGCUGGCUGGAGCCAGCAGCUCGACGGUGUGGCUGACAGAAGAGAGUGAGCACGCAUCGGCCAGACUGCAUCUAUAUACGGCUGCUCCUGG
rnacentral:precursor_RNA from 1 species